GUCUGUAUCGAUUAGUGGUUAAAUCAUCUCGUUGUGGUUGAUCGCAAUUCCGAGAAGCCGCUGGUUCGACUCCAGCUACGGACA